rnacentral:snRNA from 1 species
GGGCUUCCGGCUGCACUUAACUGCACCAGCCACUGCUGUCUAUCACCCUGUUGAUAUUUGAUUGAUCUGGCUGGCUAGGUAGGUGUUCCUUUCCUCCCGCACCACUCCAUGUGCCUCACUCAUGAAUCUGUGCCUCACUCAUGAGAAGACAACCAUCCCAGAUAGGAGCAUGAUGUUCUUCAUUCUUCUGCUAGAACCUUUCAAACAACAUCCAUCUGGAAUAGUGGAAGAGGAGUGUGAAAAUAGAUUCUAAAGCCUUGACAGAAUUAAGUGCAUUGUAUUGCUGUAGCCCAUU